AGCUGACUGUGAUGUUUAUAGCGUUACACGAGGAAGAAGAAAUAAUAUUUAAAAAAGAUUUUUGAAGAAAUACUGUAGAAGACAUUUUUAUAAAGCUGUUGUUUGAUCAGACAUUGUCAAAGCAAUUUUUGAAGAAAUACUGUAGAAGACAUUUUUAUAAAGCUGUUGUUUGAUCAGACAUUGUCAAAGCAGUAAGUAUAAUCAAGAGAGGUCACCUACAUAUACAUGAAUAAACUCAUUAAGAUUCCGGGAUUGAAUUUAGUAUAUACGCCAGACGCGUGUUUCGUCUACAAAAAACUCAUCAGUGACGCUUGAAUUUAAAAAAAAAGGACAGACAAAUAAUUAGACACAACAUAGAAAAAUAAAGACUAAGCAACACGAACCCCAACAAAAAAUGAGGGUGAUCUCAGGUGCUCCAAAAGAGUAAGCAGAUCCUGCUCAACAUAUCAUGCAUAUGAUACUGUCAAGUUGAUCAUGUGGUAAAUAGUCUGAAUUCGCUAGGUCACAAAGUUCAAAUGAAGUAGAUGUAAGCAAUUAUAACCAAACUGUACGGCCUUCAAAAAUGAGAAAAACACAUUCUGUAUGCCUAUGGUUGGCUAUAAAAGGCCCUCAACAUGAGAAAUAUGAAACAAUUGAAUUGAGAAAACUAAGGGCAUAAUUUAUAAGAAAACAAUUACCAAAAAAUAAAUAUGAUAGACAUGAAACAGCAACUACAGGCUUGGAACUGGCCCAUAAAACAAAAUGUGGCGGAGUUUUUUCAACAUGUUUGCGAGCACUCAACCUUCCCCUAACCUGGGACAACGGUAUAACAGAACAACAUAAGAAGAAAUAUCAUGAAUAUCAGUUAAAAAAGGCUUAACUUGAUAGAUAGAUACAAAUAGAAUUACAUGAACAAAAACACAGAGUUGAUAUGGAGGAAUACUUAUACAUGUUAUACAUCCCAAAAUCAAAAAGGCACCAAGUACAGAUCUGAGAAUAUUCAAGGCCAAUACCAACUAAUAAAAAAAAAUCAUGUAUAUUGGACAAAAAUAUCAAAUACAAAAGCCUUUUUUUGUUU